GCCAGAGAAACUGUUCUCAAGAGUGUGAAUUAGGUGGCAGCUACUAUUUUAUGGUACCUCGCUAUCCACUUUGUAAGGAAACAAAAAGAACACAUGAUGAGGCUCUGGGUCAGCCAGGAUUCUAGAUUCUGCUGCCAGACACAUCUUACAAGGGUAGAGUGCUUGUUUCCUCAUCCCAACCCCAAGCUUCUCCUCAAAGGUCAGCCUUUCUUUCUUCCCCUCAGCUCUGGGAGGCAGUAGCAGGGACCUCCCUCCACUCAGCCCAGCCUGGACUCCCAGCCAGGAGGCUGGGGCAGUGAGUCUCCGAGAGCAGAGGGAGCACAUCCCCUGACACCUCGCACAUGACAGUUGCUUCAUCAGUGCUGGUUGUGCUCCUGAGAACUCAGCAUGGAGAGAGGCCUAGUCCCCGCUCCCCUGCUCCCAAUUGCUCUGUGACUCAUUCUCACGGCUCGCCCUUCAGGUUCUCGUUCUUGAAUUUCUCCUGCUCCCUCCCACUCCCAGUCCUUUGCCAUGUCUCCCCUGUGCCUGGAACACUUUUUGAUGCAGGUCACCUCCAGGACUCUGCCACUUUCAAGUUGAGUGUUCCAGGUAGGUCACUGAACCCCUCUGAGUUUCAGUGUCUUUAUCUGUAAAGAUAAAAACUAGACAUAACCUUUGGCUGACUGGGAGAGUUGGGAUUGGAUAAGGCAAGUACUGAGUCCAAGGCCUGGCUCUGAGUCCCUGCCCCAGGGACAGCAGCUCCUGUGAUUUUGGUUCAUCAUGGUAGGUCCCUCCUUCUCUCUCUCUUCUUGGGAACUGCCACCAUCCUUUCUGUUCUUUAACCUGCUUCUCCGCCAAUAAAGGCAGAGUGGAACACUCUCUUCCUGGCUCCUAUUUCCUCGCUGCCUCCAAAGACAAGCCUGUCACCUCC
rnacentral:lncRNA from 10 species